rnacentral:lncRNA from 1 species
GUUGGAUACUUAGGCUACAGCCUAUUGAAGGGACCCACCGUUACGGUACUAUUGAAGGGACCCACCGUUACGGUACUAUUGAAGGGACCCACCGUUACGGUACUAUUGAAGUGGACCCACCGUUACGGUGCUAUUGAAGGGACCCACCGUUACGGCGCUAUUGAAGGGACCCACCGUUACGGUGCUAUUGAAGGGACCCACCGUUACGGUGCUAUUGAAGGGACCCACCGUUACGGUGCUAUUGAAGGGACGGACCGUUACGGUACUAUUGAAGGGACCCACCGUUACGGUGCUAUUGAAGGGACCCAACGUACGGUGCUAUUGAAGGGACGGACCGUUACGGUGCUAUUGAAGGGACGGACCGUUACGGGCUAUUGGGGACGGACCGUUACGGUGCUAUUGAAGGGACCCACCGUUACGGUACUAUUGAAGGGACGGACCGUUACGGUGCUAUUGAGGCCGGACCGUUACGAUGCUAUUGAAGGGACCCACCGUACGGUGCUAUUGAAGGGACGGACCGUUACGCGCUAUUGAAGGACCCACCGUUACGGCGCUAUGAAGGGGACGGACUUACGGCGCUAUUGAGGGUACGUACGGCGCUAUUGAAGGGACGGACCGUUACGGCGCUAUUGAAGGGACGGACGUUACGCGCUAUGAAGGCGGGACCGUUACGGCGCUAUGAAGGGACGGACCGUUACGGCGCUAUUGAAGGGACGGGACCGUUACGCGCUAUUGAAGGGACCACCGUUACGGCGCUAUUGAAGGGACGGACCGUUACCGCGCUAUUGAAGGGACCCACCGUUACGGCGCUAUUGAGGACGCGCCCGUUACGGCGCUAUUGAAGGGACGGACCGUUACGGCGUAUUGAAGGGACGGACCGUUACGGCGCUAUUGAAGGGACGACCGUUACGGCGCUAUUGAAGGGACGGACCGUUACGGCGCUAUUGAAGGGACGGACCGUUACGGCGCUAUUGAGGGACGGGACCGUUACGGCUAUUGAAGGGCCGGACCGUUACGGCCAUUAAGGGACCCACCGUUACGGUACCUAUUGAAGGGACCCACCGUUACGGUACCAUUGAAGGGACCCACCGUUACGGUACCAUUGAAGGUGACCACCGUUCGGUACCAUUGAAGGGACCCACCGUUCGGUACCAUUGUGAGGACCCACCGUUACGGUACCUUGAAGGGACCACCGUUACGGUACAUUGAAGGACCCACGUUACGGUACUAAGGGACCACCGUUACGGUACCAUUGAAGGGACCCACCGUUACGGUACCAUUGAAGGGACCCACCGUUACGGUACCAUUGAAGGGACCCACCGUUACGGUACCAUUGAAGGGACCCACCGUUACGGUACCAUUGAAGGGACCCACCUGUUACGGUACCAUUGAAGGGACCACCUUUACGGUACCAUUGAAGGGACCCACCGUUACG